AACGUAGGUACCGAGCGUUAUCCGGAUUUACUGGGCGUAAAGCGCGUUCAGGCGGUUUGGCAAGUCGGGCAUGAAAUCUCUCGGCCCAACCGGGAGAGGUUGUCCGAUACUUCCAGACUUGAGGGCAGUAGAGGGUGGUGGAAUUCCGGGUGUAGUGGUGAAAUGCGUAGAGAUGCGGAGGAACACCGAUGGCGAAGGCAGCCCCCUGGGCCAACACUGACGCUCAGGCACGAAAGCGUGGGGAGCAAACAGG
rnacentral:rRNA from 1 species